rnacentral:rRNA from 1 species
UACGUAGGGGGCGAGCGUUGUCCGGAAUCAUUGGGCGUAAAGCGCGCGCAGGCGGCCCUUUAAGUCUGAUGUGAAAGCCCGCGGCUCAACCGCGGAGGGUCAUUGGAAACUGGGGGGCUUGAGUGCAGGAGAGGAGAGCGGAAUUCCUGGUGUAGCGGUGAAAUGCGUAGAGAUCAGGAGGAACACCGAUGGCGAAGGCAGCUCUCUGGCCUGUAACUGACGCUGAGGCGCGAAAGCGUGGGGAGCAAACAGG